AAAAAGGGUGUCUUCCGCUUACAUGGAACAUCGGAUCCUAAGGGUUCUGGUGAGGUAUGGCCAUCAAUACAUACCUGACACGUAAUUUUUAGAACCGCGGGCAGUUGGCUACCAUCGAGUGCCGGCGCCUGC